UGUGAUAAUGGUUUCAAGUGUAUACCAAACACUAGAAACGCCCAGUUUUUUUUUUAAACUAUUUUUUUUUUUAAACUUAAGCGGCACUGGUACUAGUAGGUGGUGGUAAGAAUGUAAGAUAGCAACAAAAUUGUAGUUCGGAACAAAUAAAGCUUUUUCUCUGCUGUGCAAAGUGACAAACCAAUACAAAAUUAAUUAAUAAUUAAUUACAGUAAAAUAUGUCCAGAUGCAUACACACACAUAUAUAAAAUGGAAAAGGAUCUUCUUUCC
rnacentral:lncRNA from 1 species